UACGGAGGGAGCUAGCGUUGUUCGGAAUUACUGGGCGUAAAGCGCACGUAGGCGGCUAUUCAAGUCGGGGGUGAAAGCCCGGGGCUCAACCCCGGAACUGCCCUCGAAACUAGAUAGCUAGAAUCUUGGAGAGGCGAGUGGAAUUCCGAGUGUAGAGGUGAAAUUCGUAGAUAUUCGCAAGAACACCAGUGGCGAAGGCGGCUCACUGGUCCGGUACUGACGCUGAGGUGCGAAAGCGUGGGGAGCAAACAGG
rnacentral:rRNA from 1 species